rnacentral:rRNA from 1 species
ACGAACGCUGGCGGCGUGCCUAAUACAUGCAAGUAGAACGCUGAAGGAGGAGCUUGCUUCUCUGGAUGAGUUGCGAACGGGUGAGUAACGCGUAGGUAACCUGCCUGGUAGCGGGGGAUAACUAUUGGAAACGAUAGCUAAUACCGCAUAAGAGUAGAUGUUGCAUGACAUUUGCUUAAAAGGUGCAAUUGCAUCACUACCAGAUGGACCUGCGUUGUAUUAGCUAGUUGGUGGGGUAACGGCUUACCAAGGCGACGAUACAUAGCCGACCUGAGAGGGUGAUCGGCCACACUGGGACUGAGACACGGCCCAGACUCCUACGGGAGGCAGCAGUAGGGAAUCUUCGGCAAUGGACGGAAGUCUGACCGAGCAACGCCGCGUGAGUGAAGAAGGGUUUCGGAUCGUAAAGCUCUGUUGUAAGAGAAGAACGAGUGUGAGAGUGGAAAGUUCACACUGUGACGGUAUCUUACCAGAAAGGGACGGCUAACUACGUG